GCCGGGCGUGGUGGCGCUGUAGUCCCAGCUACUCGGGAGGCUGAGGUGGGAGGAUCGCUUGAGUCCAGGAGUUCUGGGCUGCAGUGGGCUAUGCCGAUCGGGUGUCCGCACUAAGUUCGGCAUCAAUAUGGUGACCUCCCGGGAGCGGGGGACCACCAGGUUGCCUAAGGAGGGGUGAACCCGCCCAGGGCGGAAACGGAGCAGGUCAAAACUCCCGUGCUGAUCAGUAGUGGGAUCGCGCCUGUGAAUAGCCACUGCACUCCAGCCUGGGCAAUAUAGUGAGACCCUGUCUCUU
rfam:Cavia porcellus supercont2_2 genomic scaffold, whole genome shotgun sequence.